AACAGGAGUAGGUUAGUGUGUUGACCCUGAGCCUUGGAAUGGAUGAAAAUGGAAGGAAAAAGCAACCAAAGAGUAAACUCUUUUGCCUACAGAUACCAUGCUUAGAAUGACUGGAGGCGGAUGGAAUAAUUCAAAAAAUCUUGAAUGAGGGCCUGAAGCUGCUUCUAUCACUGGAAAUUCAAGAGUCAGAGCACGUUUGAAAGAAAUUCCUCAUCAUCCACAGCUAUCAUUUAGGACUAGCCUGAAGCGAUCUUCAAAGAAGUUUUGAAUCCCUGGAAUCUUCUGUAGGCUCUUCUCAAGCAACACCUUCUUUUCCAUUCUCUGUUUGCUAGCAUCUUCCUCCCACUAUUACUUUGGGUAUAUCUUGGAUUUGCUUGCCUGCAUAUGUUGUUAAACAAAAUGUUUCCCCUGCAAGCUCCUUAGGAGCACAUACUAUUUUAUUUUUGUCUUUGUACUUCCAGCAUCAUGCCUGGCACAUACUAGGCACUUAAUACAUUUUUUUUUAACCAGACCUGUGAUUUUCAUUGAUUGCUUCAAGGAAUUCCCAGUAAG